GGCUUUGGGGGCAGGGUGCUUGAUUAGCCUGUGCAAGAAAGACCCUGGGUUCCAGCUCAGCACCACAACAUCCAAAAAUAAUUAACUGUACUUCAUUAUAUCUGUGGUGUCUUCCUAUGGGCAAAAAGUCUUUCUCCUUCUUAAAAUUCAUUGUAUUCCAGAAAUUGGUUCUCUCCUGCCACCUUGUGGGGUGAAAGGAUCAAAUUCAGGUAGGCCUCAAAGACGCAUCUCUACCUGAUGAACUGUCUCACUACCUCCGAGGCUUCUGAGACGGGAGGUUUCCCAGUGGACAGAGGUGCAAGAGGGCAAAGGAUCGACUCAGUCCUUCAAAGGAUCUCUAGCCCCAGUUGGCAUCAAACUCACUAUGUAGUUGAAGAUAACCUUGCAUCCUUCUGCCUCCAUGUCCCAAGACCUGGAACUACAGGCGUGUACCAGCUUGCUUGCCGGGUUUUCCUCAGGGCCAGGGAUCCGACCCAGGUUAGGAAAGUGCUCUACCAAAUGAGCUCCACCCCUAUUCCCCAGUUUGGUUCUUCCCUGCCUUUGUGCUGCUGUGGAACCCAGAGCCUCCGAGCCGCGUGUGUGCACACUUGUGCAUACAACUGCUCUGCCGGAGGAACUACCAUCAGCCCAUCGAGGCACUGGGAGAAAUCAGGCUCUGAAAUAAACCAGAUCAAGUUUUCCAGGCCAAACUGUGAGCCUCAGGCUGUGUUCACACUCCUUGAAACAAAGCACCCGCCCCAAGUCUCAGAAGCCUACCUGGCCUGAUUUUCUACUAGCAAAUUAAAAUGAUUGGCUGCAAACUCCAUCAUCCGCCUGUACUUCUCAAACUGAACAUGGCUUUUCCCCCAGAGCAAGAGAGGGGGUGGGAAAGGAAAAACACCCCAGGGAACAAACCUCCUUUUGAAAGCACAGAGUUGAUGGGGCGUAAGGAUUGCAGACUCCCAUCUCUGGUCCUCUGGCAUCAUGUUAAAAAAAAAAAAAGAAAAAAGACUGGGGAUUUCAAGAUUCAUUUCACAGGCCCUGGGAAAACUACCAACAAUAAUCAUGAUACAGAAGAUGAAUAGCAAUAUUAGUAUUCAACUUGUGAUAAAAAAAAAUAGGAUUAUUUCCUAUGUAUUGGAGGUUCCUGAAGUAUGCCAAUUUCCAGAGACAAGUGGUGGUUGCCAGGGGCUGGGGGAGGAGGGAAUGGGGAGAUACUGUACACUGCUGUACAGCUUCAGUUUUACAAGAUCAAAGAGAGUUUAGAGUACUUGCCUAGCAGGAGAAAAGCCCUGAGUUCUAAGCCUAGCACUACAAACUGAGGGAGCAGGCAGGGAAGGGGAAAAAAAAAAAAAACAAAAAAAACCCUAACCUAAGGCUAGGCUGAGGUUGACUAAAUUCAUCACAAAUUUAAGAUCUGAGGGGAGAAAUACACACAACUCUCAGCUUGGCAGCUUUCAUUUACCCGGAACCGCACUGCUAGUGGUUAGAAACUAUGCCUUUGAAAAGAAAUCUGCAUUUCCUUUCUGUUCUGCAAUUACUAGCAGGGACCUUCCAACAACUCACUGGACAUCUCUGACUUUCACCUACAUAGUAACAAACUACAAAUCCCUCCGCAGAGGACUAUGAGUCUGAGGACAUAACAAAACCUCAGUAAUACGGUAGUUAGCCCUGACUAAUGUAUUCUUACUAUGAAUGUGAGCAGUGAGUUACUGUUUUAUGAUGAUUACUUAAAAGUCAGCAACAACGAAAUUAGUAUCAUCAGGUCGAGAAGAGCAUUAGAAGAUUUGGUUUUAAGAGGAAAGGUGACCCAAGAUACAGUCAGAAGACAUGAGCUUCCAGAAUGGUCUUGCGCAUUCAGAUUUCUUCCCUGGCGGUCACGGGCUGGCGUGACCCUGGAACCAACUCCCUCGCCGCCCAGGCAUCUUGGCGAGGUGGGUGCGAAGGUCGGAAGAGGCAGGCUGGCUGCAGAGCCCCUCCUGAGCCCGAGGCGCUGACAACGUGCAAGGAUUGUGCAAGAGAAUCGUUCGUACCAAAACCAAGUGCUCCGCACCGCACUCCUCCUGAACACCUGCCACUCAGGCCAUCAAGGAUGCUGCAAGGAAGCUGCAAGCUUCUCCUAGGCCCUGCAAGACCCUAAGAAAAGGCAUCCCCAAACAACCUGGGUGGCAGGUUUAUAAAUACCCCCCUGCACAUGCGCAAUGAGACUACACUGCGCCUGCGCCAUGGCGGAGAGUCAGACCAUAAAAAAAGGUUCCGAGGCCCUGCAGGACACUUGCGGUCUGCGGUAAUCAUGGCCCAGGGCCCCGCGCUGCUUACCUCGUAGUGCUUCAUGGUUCUUCCACAGGAUGGCACCUGCUCUGCUGCAACUGAGUGGCCGCCGUACCGCACCAAACACCACCCAGCUCCACACACACUCGGGGAGCAGCACUCCCGGACUCCGGCUCCGCCCCCCUCUAUGCGUGCGUCCCUCCUGCCAAUCAGCGUGGGGUGCACCCACUGCUCGCGCCACACAACUGACCAAUCAGAUUUCUCGAUCCAAGGAGCGCAGCGGACCCCCUCCCCCCCACUUUGGCAAGCAAGAUUAAAACCCGGCCACCCACCAAUCAAAAGGAAGCCUGGGCGCCGCGCGCCCUCUGGCUCCGCCCAUUGCAGUGUUGCGGUGGAAAUCCAGCGACGUCAGGCUGAGGGGUCAAUGCGGCAAAACGAGAACAAAGAGCUGCGUGGCCCGGAGAGCCAGGCUUGGGGUGAAUUCGUAGAUGUAGAGAAGCUCAUCUAAGAGAUGAGACCUCAGAUUAUCAUCCAUCACCAGGACCCUUGAAAGGACUCCAGAUAUCACGAAUGGAGAAAGGAAAAGAAAACCUGCACCGCAUUCUACAGGUGCCCCUCCUAAAACAGCUCCUGUCAGUUGAGCUGGCCCUAGAAGCAAAACCACCUUUGUCUCUGCCUGCGUUAUCGUGUACAGUUUGGUUACUACUGGCCACAUGUAGCUACUGAGCCCUUGAAAUAUACAGGAAAAAAAUGACAGGUGCUGCCAGUCUAAAAAUACAGGACAUCAGAGAACAGUGCAGAGAAAGACGACAUUACAGGGGCUGGUGAGAUGGCUCAGUGGGUAAGAGCACCAACUACUCUUCCAAAGGUACUGAGUUCAAAUCCCAACAACCACAUGGUGGCUCACAACCACCCAUAAUGAGAUCUGAUGCCCUCUUCUGGUGCGUUUGAAGACAGCUACAGUGAACUUAUUUUAAUAAAUAAAUCUUUGGACCGGAGCAAGUGGGGUUGGCCAGAGCAAGCAGAGGUGUAGAGGUCCUAAAUUCAAUUCCCAACAAUCACAUUAAGGUUCACAACCAUC
rnacentral:lncRNA from 1 species